AAUGAACGCUGGCGGCAGGCCUAACACAUGCAAGUCGAGCGACAACACAGGAAGAGCUUGCUCUUACGGGUGGCGAGUGGCGGACGGGUGACGCAUACAUCGGAUACUACUGUUACGUGGGGAAUAACGUAGUAAAGGCUCUACUAAUGCCUCAUAUGUCCUACCGGGUGAAGCAGGAGUUCUUCUCGCCUUUCGCGAUUGUAUUAGCCGAUGUCGCAUCAGCUAGUUGGCUGGGUAACGGCCUAGCAAGGCGACGAUCCGUAGCUGGUCUGAGCGGGUGAUCGGCCACACUGGAACUGAGACACGGUCCAGACUCCUACGGGAGGCAGCAGUAGGGAAUCUUGGGCAAUGGGCGAAAGCCUGAUCCAGCAAUACCGCGUGAGUGAUGAAGGCCUUCGGGUCGUAAAGCCCUGUUGUUGGGAAAGAACAAAAGCGGGUUAAUCUCUGGAUGUACUGACGGUACCAAAAGAAUAAGCCCCGGCUAACUUCGUG
rnacentral:rRNA from 1 species